UACGGAGGGUGCAAGCGUUAUCCGGAUUCACUGGGUUUAAAGGGUGUGUAGGCGGCUUUUUAAGUCAGUGGUGAAAUCUCCGGGCUCAACCCGGAAACUGCCAUUGAUACUAUUAGUCUUGAAUUCUGUUGAGGUGGGCGGAAUACAUCAUGUAGCGGUGAAAUGCUUAGAUAUGAUGUAGAACACCGAUUGCGAAGGCAGCUCACUAAGCAGACAUUGACGCUGAGGCACGAAAGCGUGGGGAUCAAACAGG
rnacentral:rRNA from 1 species